GAGUUUGAUCCUGGCUCAGAACGAACGCUGGCGGCAAGCUUAACACAUGCAAGUCGAACGGACCGUAUACGCAGCUUGCUGCGUGUAUGGUUAGUGGCAGACGGGUGAGUAAUGCAUAGGAAUCUACCUAGUAGUAUGGGAUAGCCACUAGAAAUGGUGGGUAAUACUGUAUAAUCCCUGCGGGGGAAAGAUUUAUCGCUAUUAGAUGAGCCUAUGUCAGAUUAGCUAGUUGGUGGGGUAAUGGCCUACCAAGGCGGUGAUCUGUAGCUGGUCUGAGAGGAUGAUCAGCCACACUGGAACUGAGACACGGUCCAGACUCCUACGGGAGGCAGCAGUGGGGAAUAUUGGACAAUGGGCGCAAGCCUGAUCCAGCUAUGCCGCGUGAGUGAGGAAGGCCUUAGGGUUGUAAAACU
rnacentral:rRNA from 1 species